CUGCUGGGAGUUGGAAUGAGUACAAUUUAAAUCCCUUAACAAGGAACAAUUGGAGGACAAGUCUGGUGCCAGCACCCGCGGUAAUUCCAGCUCCAAUAGCGUAUAUUAAAUUUGUUGCAGUUAAAAAGCUCGUAGUCGAAUUACUGGGAUGUUCACUGGCUCGGUCUGCCGUAAGGUGUGUACUGGCUGGUGAUGCCCAUACUGCUAUGUGGCAUGGGCUGUCCUUAACUGGAUGGCCUAUCGCCGCAUGGCCUUUUACUUUGAAAAAAUCCGAGUGUUCAACGCAGGCGUAUUGCCUGAAGGGAUUAGCAUGGGAUAAUGGAAUAGGGCACUUGCUCUAGUUUCGUUGGUUUACUGGGUAAUGCAAUGAUUAAUAGGAAUUGUUGGGGGUAUUCAUAUUUAGUUGUCAGAGGUGAAAUUCUUGGAUUAACGAAAGAUGAACUACUGCGAAAGCAUUUAUCAAGGAUGUUUUCAUUGAUCAAGAACGAAAGUUUGGGGAUCGAAGACGAUCAGAUACCGUCGUAGUCCAAACUAUAAACGAUGCCGACAAGCUGUAAGGUGAUGUCGCAUGGAUGACUCCCUUUGGAACUUCAGAGAAAUCAAAAGUCUUUGGGUUCCGGGGGGAGUAUGGUCGCAAGGCUGAAACUUAAAGGAAUUGACGGAAGGGCACACCAGGAGUGGAGCCUGCGGCUUAAUUUGACCCAACACGGGAAAACUCACCGGGUCCGGACACAGUAAGGAUUGACAGACUGAGAGCUCUUUCUUGAUUCUGUGGGUGGUGGUGCAUGGCCGUUCUUAGUUGGUGGAGUGAUUUGUCUGGUUAAUUCCGUUAACGAACGAGAUCUCAACCUGUUAACUAGAGAAGCCCAUUGCCUGUACGGGUGAAGCUGGUUGAUGUGCGGGUGGGCCGCAAGGUCUGCUUGUGCUCGGCCAAGGGAUCCUUGGUGGAUGGGUGACGCUUCUUAGAGGGACUAUUGGGGGUAACCCAAUGGAAGUGAGCCAAUAACAGGUCUGUGAUGCCCUUAGAUGUCCCGGGCCGCACGCGCGCUACACUGUGGGGUGCAGAGAGUUCCACCUAAGGAGAAGUUCUCCGGGACUCUCUAAUCCCCUACGUGCUGGGGACAGACCUUUGUAACUAUCGGUCUCCAACGAGGAAUUCCUAGUAAGUACAGGUCAUUAGCCUGUGCUGACUACGUCCCUGCCCUUUGUACACACCGCCCGUCGCUCCUACCGAUUGAAUGAUCCGAUGAACCCUUUGGACUUGAGAUCCUUGGCGGCGGAAACGUUGCCUUACUCGGGGAAGUCGGGUGAAUCUUAUCAUUUAGAGGAAGGA
rnacentral:rRNA from 1 species